CUCGGCGAACUGCUCCGUAAUACACAGUUAAUCUACCCUUAGGAGGAGAACAAUCUCGGAAACCUGAGGCUAAUGCUCCAUAGAUAUUGAUUUCUGGAAUGAGUUAAUAUUCACAGGCGUAAGCCGCCUUAGGAUGGGACUGUGUGUUAUCAGGCUGUUGUUGGUGUAAAGAAAUUCCAACUUUAUAAAACCAACAAACCGAUAACAACUACGGGUUAUGGAAGUGAGAGCCCGGAGAUGGAUUCUGAGACAUGAAUCCAGGUACUACGGUACGCAGCAGUUACGAGAACUUUGCAAUGUGCUAACGCACGACAAGGGGACUUGGAGUGUUCUUGCAUUGCAAGAACUUUUACUCUCUGAAAACGGGAGAGGGAAUAAGGGCUGGAAAACACGGGUGCCAGCCUCCGCGGUAAUACCCGGAGCCCAAGUGAUGGUCACGAUUAUUUGGCCUAAAGCAUUCGUAGGCGGUUUAAUAAGUCUCUUAUGAAGUCCUUUAGCAAACUAAAGGGCUUGUAAGAGAUACUAUUAGACUUGAGACCGAGAGAGGACAGCGAUACUUCUUAGGUAGGGGUUAAACCCUUUAGUCUAAGAAGGAUCACCUGUGGCGAAAGCGGCUGUCUAGAGCGGAUCUGACGCUGAGGGAUGAAAGCUAGGGGAGCAAUCGGGAUUAGAUAUGAGAAUUUUCUCACUAAAUACCCCGGUAGUCCUAGCCGUAAACGAUGCCCACUUGGUGUUGUAGGCUUCUUGGGAGCUUACAGUGCCGGAGCGUAGGUGUUAAGUGGGCCGCCUGGGGAGUAUACUCGCAAGGGUGAAACUUAAGGGAAUUGGCGGGGGAGCACACAAGGGGUGAAGGCUGCGGUUUAAAUGGAGUCAACGCCGGGAAUCGUCGACCUGCAGGCAUGCAAGCUGCACUGCGAUG
rnacentral:rRNA from 1 species